rnacentral:snoRNA from 1 species
AGGCAUAUCCGUAGACCUUGCCUGACUCUGCUCAUGACCAGGUAGGGGGGACAGUGUAUGCAAGAGUAAUUGGAGUCCAUGCUAGCUCUAACCAGCUAAUCACUGGCUGGAUAAAUUGCAGUACUCCAACAUUA